rnacentral:rRNA from 1 species
AGUGAACGCUGGCGGCGUGCUUAACACAUGCAAGUCGAACGAGAACGGAAUAUAGCUUGCUAUAUUUGUCAGCUAAGUGGCGCACGGGUGAGUAAUGUAUAGAUAACCUGCCCUUAAGAAAGGAAUAACAGUUGGAAACGACUGCUAAUGCCCUAUAUGCCUUUAAUACAUAAGUAUGCAAGGGAAACGAUUUAGUGCUUAAGGAUGGGUCUGUAUGGUAUCAGCUUGUUGGUGAGGUAAUGGCUCACCAAGGCUAUGACGCCUAACUGGUUUGAGAUGAUGAUCAGUCACACUGGAACUGAGACACGGUCCAUGCGCCUACGGGAGGCAGCAGUGGGGAAUAUUGCACAAUGGACGAAAGUCUGAUGCAGCAACGCCGCGUGGAGGAUGACACAUUUCGGUGCGUAAACUCCUUUUAUAUAGGAAGAUAAUGACGGUACUAUAUGAAUAAGCACCGGCUAACUCCGUGCCAGCAGCCGCGGUAA